UACAGAGGGUGCAAGCGUUGUUCGGAAUUAUUGGGCGUAAAGGGUGCGUAGGCGGUCUGGACAAGUCUGAUGGUGAAAAUCUAUGGGCUCAACCCAUAGCCUGCAUGGAAACUGUCGGGCUUGAGUAUGGGAGAGGUGAGUGGAAUUUCCGGUGUAGCGGUGAAAUGCGUAGAGUAGUCGAGUAAGGAAGACCGUGGCGAAGGCGAGUCCUGGACAGCU
rnacentral:rRNA from 1 species